rnacentral:rRNA from 1 species
GCAAGUCGAACGAGAUGAUUUAAUGCUUUCCUUAAAGAUUCUAGUGUCGAACGGGUGAGUAACACGUAUGAAACUUCCCCCAAUUACGAGGAUAACUGUGAGAAAUCGCAGCUAUUACUGGAUAUGUAAUAAUAACGCAUGUUCUUAUUAUUAAAGAGGCUACUAGCCUUGCUUUGGGAUGGUCAUGCGGUGCAUUAGUUAGUUGGUGAGGUAAUGGCCUACCAAGACGAUGAUGCAUAGCCGACCUGAGAGGGUGAGC